CUGCAUGUUUGAAUGCAAAUUUGAAUCUCAAAAAGGCUUUAAAAGUUUUAAUUUCAACUUGAACCUGAGGGUUUACACCCAUUUGAACUUUGGAUCUUCAAACCAAUAGGUUCUGUGUAUAAAAGGGGUUUAAUGCAUAUAGAAGCUAUCCCAUAAAUUUUGGAUAAUUAUUUGGUGUUGGAAAAGUAUUUUAUUUAAAUAGAUAUAUAGCGCUAGAGGCAUUUCUAGGGCAAAUGUAUUUUUAUACUUUCUACCAAAAGUUGUAUCUUGGUAGAACAUGAUUUUACAAAUUUUCUGAAAUUUAUUUGGACCAAUUUAGAGUUCAAACUCAAAAGAUAUCAAAGAAAUGAGAAAAACAGAAAAAGAAAAGGGUCUAAAAGAAAAAGAAAGGGUAAACUGGACCGGCCCGGCCACUUUGGGCCGAACCGGCCCAGUCCGACCGCGCCCGACCGCACGCGCGCCAGCCCCGCC
rnacentral:lncRNA from 1 species